rnacentral:rRNA from 1 species
GGGGAAUUUUCCGCAAUGGGCGAAAGCCUGACGGAGCAAUACCGCGUGAGGGAGGAAGGCUCUUGGGUUGUAAACCUCUUUUCUCAGGGAAGAAAAAAAUGACGGUACCUGAGGAAUAAGCAUCGGCUAACUCCGUGCCAGCAGCCGCGGUAAUACGGAGGAUGCAAGCGUUAUCCGGAAUGAUUGGGCGUAAAGGGUCCGCAGGUGGCAUUGUAAGUCUGCUGUUAAAGAGUUUGGCUGAACCAAAUAAAAGCAGUGGAAACUACAAAGCUAGAGGUUGGACGGGGCAGAGGUGAACCC